CUUCUUUUAUUGUUACAACAAAAACCGUCCCUUUACAUCUUCUCUCCCGUUUCAAAUUUCUUCCACAACCUUCCUCUCUAACGGCUAACUCCCUCUCCCCUUCUCUCUCGCUCUCUGCUCUUCUUCUUCUUCCUCAGAAUCUUCACUCUUCCUCCUAUCUCUCAAUUUCUACUUCUCUAAAAUGAAGCACGCAGCCAAGAAACCCUAUCUUCCGGGUUGCCAGAUACCCAUCUCGCCGAUCCACCACCAUCUUCUUCUCCUAGCCCUAACGGCGCUUGAUCUACAUGCCUCUGUACUAAUUGAACCAGACGGGAAGCGGGAAGACAAUACCAUCUGGGGUCCACCCAAUGCUUUGUCCGAUGGUUACUGUUUUGUUCUCGAGGUUGGACAACGGUUGCCUUCCACGGUAUGAUCUACAUAUUUUAUCUCUGAGUUCCUUUAAAUUCACUAGAAAAACUUCGUUGCAGAUUUACAAUGACCAAAUCACUGAUUUAUUGAAUCCAAAUGCGAGAAACUCUAGGUUCCCCCUUCUAAACAAUAAAAUGAAAGAGAAGAAUAGAGAACAAAAUGUUGUUCUUGUUCUAUUUCCUGUAAUAUGAAAAACUAAUUUGGUCUUCUGUUGAGUCAUCUCCUCUCUCUCUAAAAAAAUCUCUCUGUGGUUUUCUCUUUCUAAAUACCAUGGAAAAAUUUGGGGGUCAAGAAUGAUUUGAGGGUACAGAAUUCACUCUCUAAAAAACACUCUGAGAUUUAUUUGAAAUUCUUGUUGCUUAAUAAAUUCCCUUUUGCAUCUCUUCAUCCACCCUUCUCUUUAAUCCUGAAUUUUAUGAUAUUUAUUUUGCAUCCUAAAUGCCUCUGUACUAAUUGAGAACCAGACGGGAAGCGGUAAGACAUAUACCAUCUGGGGUCCAGCCAAUGCUUUGUCCGAUGGUUACUGUUCUGUUCUCGAGGUUGGACAAUGGUUGCCUUCCACUGUAUGAUCUACAUAUUUUAUCUAUGAGUUCAUUUAAAUUCGCUAGAAAAACUUCGUUGCAGAUUUACAAUGAGCAAAUCACUGAUUUAUUGAAUCCAAAUGCAAGAAACCUCUAGGUUCCCGCUUCUAAACAAUAAGAUGGAAGAGAAGAAUAGAGAACAAGAUGUUGUUCUUGUUCUAUUCCUGUAAUAUGAAAAAAACUAAUUUGGUCUUCUGUUGAAUCAUCUCCUCUCUCUAAAAAAAUCUCUCCGUAGUUUUAACUUUUUGUGUGUCGGUGAAAUAUUACUAUGGAUAUGGAGUUUAUUAUGAUUUUUGUCUACACCGGCGGUUUUCUAUAUGGUUCAAUGGUGCCUUUGAAUUGACAGAUCAAUGGACGGUAUGUGACUUAAUUAUUUAUCAAGAUUUAUGCUUAAUGCAUUGUUUUUGUUUGUGCGAGGUGAACCAUAUCAAAUUGUUGAGUUUGUUGUAGGUUUAUUAAUGAGAGAGAAUGUCUGGUGGGGUCAGAAUAGCUUUAGAAAUGCAUUGGGAGCUCUGAAGUAUAUACUACCACAGUUUCAUUAGCUAAAGUUAACAAUGAUUAUAAGGAGUUGGACAUUUCUAUAGUUAAGUCAACAAUGAACGUCCUGCGAAGGAAAAACAUAUGAGAGCUAUUUUAGCUACCAAGCCUAGAGCCGAUGUUGCAUAUUGCAUUCAUGCUCUGGCAAGAAGAUUAUCGAAGAAACAUAAUUGGGUAGUAAGUCUUCAUCUUUUGAUAUCAUAAGCAUUACAUUAUUGCAGCACCACGACUUCUCAGGUUUUUCUAUUCUAUUCUUUUUCUUUUAAUAUUUCGGAAUUUGGAUUGUCUAUAUAUAUUGUUGUUGUUUUCGUUUAUCAUUUAUUUUUAUUUUGGAGAGUGUCUAUGGUAAUCUUGAGGUGAUUUAAGAAAAAUUGAUUGUCCGGGAAUCAAUUUUUCUAUAUUACCUUAAUUCUACCUUAAUAGACAAAUAUGUGUGUUUUAAUUUCACUUUA